AACCUGUUCUAGCUCUACUUUAAAACACAUUUUCUACCUGUACUUAAAACAGCCCCGAAGCACAGGUGAUGUUUCUCUGCCACCACAGUCGGGGCUUCCUGCUCUGCACAGUGCAUUCCCGGCAGGCAGCUCUCGGCGGGACAAGUUGCUGGGAGGAUUUUAACUCGAUGUCAACAUCCGUCCGUGCUUCAGGGCUCAGCGUCCCGAUCUCGCCCGCUCCCAGCGGCCGGGAGCAGCGGGAUAACAGAUGCGUGAGGAAACGAGAUAAACGCAACGACCUCACAGGACGGCGGGGACACCAGGCGUGCACCGCGCUGCUCCUGGCACCAUCCCGCCCAGUCAGUCCCAAAUGAGGGCAUCGCGGCAAAAGGGAAGAUUCGGCAGCGGAGAGGCACCAAAGCGGGAACAGGCAGGACACAGCGGGGAUGGAGCCGCGGAGUGACAUUGGAGACUCUCUCCCAACAGACCAUGCCCAGCACUCAUUGCAAACGAGGAGGGGCUGGGGCUGCUGGGAGCAGAAGCAAGAGAUGUGCUGCACUCCUCCACAUGCUGUCCCAGCCCUGGCCCCUCAGGCAGCACAGGGAAACCUCCCAGUGGUGCUGAAAGGAAGGAACCAGUCUGGAUCUGCAAACCCAGUCUGGACUUGGAGAUGAUCAAACACUGGAACAACUUGACACGAGAGGCUGUGGAGGCUCCAUCCUUGGAGAUAUUAUGGCCUUUAUAAUAUAAAGAGAAUCUACAAGACUGAAUAUUCUCUCUGCUGCACAGCAAGAAAGAGUGCUGGCAUCAAAACCAUCUCAGUGCUGGAGUGAAAGAGGAGUUGAUGUCUCAGCAGCAACAGGAGAUAACAACACCCAUCUAUCUCCAAGAUUUUUGCCAGCCUGGAAAAACUGGAGGCUGGAAACAUGGCCAGAAUCAUCUAGGGUAAUCUCAGGCAAAGUACAGAACAAAUUAAUUAAUAACCUAUUUCUGGAACCUUUGGAAUGAUGGAUCUGUGGCUGAUUAAUUGUGGUGGUGUGUUCCCCAGGGACUGAUCAUGUCAGCUUUCCAUGGAGGGAGUUCAGUCACUGGCUUGGGAAAGUGUUGGUAGAGAAGUUCUAUGAUGAAAGGGAAUUUGAGCUUUUAAGAUACUUGGAUCAUUAAGAGUUAUUAUGUGUAGCAUUGAUUCAUCAACUUGUGCUUUUAAGUUAACUAGCUCUGUUUGGCAAUUGCAAUCUCUCCUUUUUCUGGACUGCAAGCAGUAAUCAAUCAAAAGCCAGCUCUGAAGUGACUGGAGAAGUACCAGCAGCAAACUGUGCCCUUGGCAGGGAGCUGGGUGUUCACUGGAACCUGCAAGGAGCUCUAAAGAAACUUCCCAUCUUACACUGCUGAAUCACCAGCCUGGGGUUGUUCUGGGAGAGGCUAGAAGAGUGGAGAGAACAUUACCUGUCAGACAGCUGUCAAGCACUGGAGAGAAAGGAAUUCCUUUGUUGGGACUUUUCUGGAAAAAGGUCAAGGUGCUCACCAAUUAUUGGACAAGUCUUCCCAUGAAUUGCAAAUCCAAAAGACAGAGAACUGCAAGGUGCCAGUAUAAACUCCAAUUAUUUCCCAAGCACUCACCAGAGUUAAACUUUCCAUGCAGUUUCUCCACAGUCUCCUUGGUCAAGCUGUAAAUCAGGGAUAAAAUUGACUCAAUGACUCUUAUACAAAUGAAUGGAAGCAUCACAGCUAUUCCACAUGACUGCAGUUCUCCAGGGCCUGGAGCUGAGUUCCAGAGCUCUGUUCCUACCUGGCAGUGUGUUUCCAUGAGCACUCAAAGCUGCACCCACACAUCAUUUAUAUAUCAAGCAAGAAAAUAUUUUAAUUUUUGAAAGAAAAAUACCAGAACUAGCACUACCCAAAGGUCUCACAGGAGAACUUCCUGAAAUUCCUUAUGGAUGGAAAGGAGCCUCAGCAAUUAACAUUUGCUGAUUCCUUCUUAAGGCUGGGAAAAGAGAACAUCAAAUGGAGGAAAAUGUUAGUUUGACUGAAAACAAAAGCAAAACUUGUUCUAAAGCCAGAACUGAGCUGGAAUUUCUUUCUAGUGUUUGCAAAGGAUAAUAAAAUGAAGCACCAGGAAAAUAUCACAUCUCACAAUGAUGAAUGUUAUUACAUCAGACUUUCAAAAUACAGCUUGAUGAAUAUGUGCAAUAAAUACAGAAAUAAACACAGGAAAAAAAUUCAGAAGUCAUUUGACUUUAAGUAGUACAAUUCUAAAAACCAUUUGUGUUGUUCAUCAACUCUUCUGCAGCCAAAGUACUUCACAAACUUGGACCAGCUCUCCAUCCUUUGAAUGAUUUGGGGAAAUAUUUCCCUUUGAAUGUGGGAGAUAAGUGAGCCAUGGAAAUGAGCAGAGGUGAAGGAGUGAUCCAGUGGCACAGAUCCUUAGGAAUGGUGGAAAUCACAAUAUAAGUCUGGAAAAGGAGGCAUGUGACCAAACAAUAGCAAUGAUGGUUAAUGAACACCCAGGAGGUGCUGGGAACCAGAGAUCCUGCUCAGGCUAAAGGGAGGUGGUACCUGACCAACCAAAGGCACCUCUGAACUCUCCUGUGACAACAGAAUGAACAGAAGAGACUUUUGCCCGAGGUGAAGUGUUGUUUUACAAGAACUAAACAAGAAAUAACUGUGCCAAACCCAGACAUUUUCCUAAGAAACUGGCUGCCAGUGCUCGUGGGGCAUUGCAGUUUUAUCUGAGUUCAGGGAAGAAGGGAGCUGGAAAGCCUCAAAACUCACUGGAGGAGAGAACAAAAAGGGCUUCAGGGCACAGAACUGGCUAGGAAAGUGUCUUUGAAAAUUGCCAGCAUGGAAACUGCUAGCUAUUGCUGACCUUUCCCAUGUUUACAGAAGCAGAACUUUCAACACCUGUAACUGGGAGGGAAUGAGCUGAAGAAAGAUCUGACUCACAUCGUCAUUUUCACCUCCUAAGAGAAACAAUUCUCUAAGGCUUCAAGCACUCACCAUGCAAGCCACAAGGCAGCGUCCCUGGAGAGCAAGCUGUGUCUGAGCUCUGCCACCCCAUUUCAUUAGUGGUGCUCAUGCCACAUCCCUCUCCAGCAUCCUGACACCACGCUGGCUGUCUGUUCAUGCCCUUGCCUCCCUCCCAUGCUCCUGCCUGCCCUCCUGGCUGCAGCCAGGGCAGAUCCUGCCUGACCUCACAUGGAGCUCUCCUGCCCAUGAGGGUGUACAUGAGGUCUCUCUCUGUCAGACUUUUCUCUCUGGUUGGGCUCAGGGGGGUGAGGAGCUGCUCUGGGCAGGGCAGGGCAGCACACGGGGUCAUCCCCUCGCUGGGGAUGCAGUGAGACAGGGAUGGGGCUGAUGUGGGCACUGCUGGGAUGUUCCUGCAGGGGGAAUGGAGGGAGCUGCUGCCCAGCCUGUCAGAGUCCUCAGGGAGAUACUGAAAUGCUGGGGACAGGACAGGGCUUGAGUAUUGCUCGUUGUUGAGAUUUCUGAAAAAAGCUCAGUGGAGAAAAACCAAUUCACUGGUGUUGAGCUUUCGGAUCGUUU